CUGGGAGCUGCUUAGGGGGUGCUCCCCUGGAAGGUCUUUUGAGCGUGUGAUGACUGGCCUAGGAGUGGUCUAUCAGCUCAGUAACAAGAGUGACACUUAGCUUUGUGUCUGCUUCUCAGUAAAGGCUCAGUUUGUGCCCAAGUCAUUCAGUACCCCAAAGCCUCAAGGUUCCCUGGAGAAGGCUACUGGCAAGAGUGUUGCUAUAUAGCUUGAUCAUGGGGAAUGAAGUCAGCCACAAGAGAUACUGCUGGGCAAAGUCCAGGCAGUUUGAGAAGCUGACUACUGUGCAAGAAAAUACUGGAGCUGAUCUCUCUGUUGCCCAGGCAGCUCUGGGGACUGUGCCAUGGAGCAGUGUGGAACAUCCUCCAAAGGAGAAAUUGCAAGAUACAGGGAUGCAGGACCAGGACACAGGAAAAGCAACUGAAACAGCUUCAUCCUCUCUGCCUGUGGCACAGGUAAUGGUGAGGACUGCAGAGCUGCAAGCCCUUGGUGAGGCCCAGCCCUCUGUGGAGCAGUCAGAGGAGACUGGAGACCAGUCCAGCACAGUAAUGAGCCUGGACACACAAGCUUGUGCUCCAGCUCAGGGAAGCCCUGCAACAGCUCUGCAAACUGCUGGAGAUGCAGGCUCAGCACCUGGUCUGCCUCUGCAGACUGCCACAGGCACAGGAGCUGAGGGUGCAGCAGAUGUGGUGAUUGAGCAGGCAGCACUGAGAAGCAGCUCAGCACUACGCAAGAAGCCAAGGGACAAGCUGUACAAGCCAAGCCCUCUCUGCAGGUGGCUGAAGCAACUCAGAUCCUCAGCAGAAAACACUGAAGAUAAGUCUGAAGCAAUUGCUAGUCAAGAAUGAGGCUUCCUGUGGUCUGCAAAAGGACCAUCAAGUGCCCAGUGUGGUACCCUCAAGCAAAGACUGGAGUAUAUAAAGGCAGGGGGAAGAUGAGGAACACAUAAUAACAGGAAAAGAUUUGUCAUUUGUGAAUUCUGUACUGUGUGGUUCUAGAUGCUUCAUAGCCCUGGGUGGGGUACCCAAGGCCUGCCUCCUGGAAGGGGAGGCUCAGCUCAAGGGGAUAGGAAGGGGAGGCUCAGCAGUCUCUGUUGCCUUAGCAAGCAACCUGGGAGGUUUCUGUUUGUGUCCUUGUUGCCUGCUGCCCACUGGGGAUUUGUAGCAGCUUCCUUUGCGAAGCUCUGCAAAGGUGUCAUCUGCACAUCAUUUCUUUGUCUCCUUAGUGCUUCCUGCCACUGUCAGACUCUCCUUUCCCUUGCUUUUAAUAACUUGUGCUGCCUGAUGGCCCAAGAUAAGUAUUAUCCCACUGAAUAAAUCCAUGACACAAGCA